rnacentral:rRNA from 1 species
UUGACCUGGCUCAGGACGAACGCUGGCGGCGUGGAUAAGGCAUGCAAGUCGAGCGCGAAAGCUCCCUUCGGGGAGUGAGUAGAGCGGCAAACGGGUGAGUAACACGUGAGUAAUCUGCCUUUAGGUGGGGGACAACUUCGGGAAACCGGAGCUAAUACCGCAUAAUGUUAUUUGUUCGCAUGGACGAAUAACCAAAGGGGGGCACUUCUAUCCUCCCGCCUGAAGAGGAGCUCGCGCCUGAUUAGCUAGUUGGUGAGGUAAAAGCUCACCAAGGCGAUGAUCAGUAGUCGGUCUGAGAGGAUGGCCGGCCACACUGGGAUUGAGAUACGGCCCAGACUCCUACGGGAGGCAGCAGUCUAGAAGCUUCGGCAAUGGGGGAAACCCUGACCGAGCGACGCCGCGUGCAGGACGAAGGUCUUCGGGUUGUAAACUGCUUUCGACUGGGAGGAAAGGUAGUGUAGUUAAUACCUGCAUUGCUUGACAGUACCAGGAGAAGAAGCCCCGGCUAACUCCGUGCCAGCAGCCGCGGUAAUACGGAGGGGGCAAGCGUUGUUCGGAUUUAUUGGGCGUAAAGCGCGCGUAGGUGGUUAAGUAAGUCGGAUGUUAAAGACCCACGGCUCACCCGGGGGAAUGCGUCCGAUACUGCUUGGCUAGAGUACAGGAGAGGGAAGUGGAAUUCCUGGUGUAGCGGUGAAAUGCGUAGAUAUCAGGAGGAACACCGGUGGCGAAGGCGGCUUCCUGGCCUGUAACUGACACUGAGGCGCGAGAGCGUGGGUAGCGAACGGGAUUAGAUACCCCGGUAGUCCACGCCGUAAACGUUGGAUACUAGGUGUCGGGGGUUUUCUACCCCCUCGGUGCCGCAGCAAACGCAUUAAGUAUCCCGNCUGGGGAGUACGACCGCAAGGUUGAAACUCAAAGGAGUUGACGGGGGCCCGCACAAGCGGUG